GUUCCCAUCCCGAACACAGAAGUUAAGCUCACAUGCGCCGACGAUACUUGCCGGGUGACUGGCCGGGAAAAUAGGUAAUGCCAACA
rnacentral:rRNA from 1 species